CAAAGAAGAUAAAGUGUCUGCUUGACCACUACUUUUAUUGACUUUCUUUGAAGACUUACAAAGUAGUGGUCAGGAGGAAAGUCCGAACACCAGAGGGCAGGAUACUUCCUAGCAGGAAGUCCCGGUAACGGGGAGCCAGCUCCACAGAAACAAACUACCUGACCACUAACUUGGGACACACCUGGUUACUGUAUUCCAAGUUAGUGGUCAGGAAAAGGUGAAAAGGUAGUGUAAGAGACUACCAGAUUCCGGUGUGAAUCGGGAUUCUCGGAAAGCCUUGUUCGGUGCAAUGCCAAAUAGGAGAACAUGAGUUAGCCCGACUCUUUUUGUUCUCGGGUAGGCAGCUAAAACCGGUCAUUAUUUGAACCCGGAGGGGUAUAGAAAUAUCCGGUUUAGACAAAUAGACAUUAGAUUGCUUGUUAGGCAGUUUACAGAAUUCGGCUUAUUAUCUUCUUUGACAA
rnacentral:RNase_P_RNA from 1 species